rnacentral:rRNA from 3 species
UGGCUCAGAUUGAACGCUGGCGGCAGGCCUAACACAUGCAAGUCGAGCGGUAGAGAGAAGCUUGCUUCUCUUGAGAGCGGCGGACGGGUGAGUAAUGCCUAGGAAUCUGCCUGGUAGUGGGGGAUAACGUUCGGAAACGAACGCUAAUACCGCAUACGUCCUACGGGAGAAAGCAGGGGACCUUCGGGCCUUGCGCUAUCAGAUGAGCCUAGGUCGGAUUAGCUAGUUGGUGAGGUAAUGGCUCACCAAGGCGACGAUCCGUAACUGGUCUGAGAGGAUGAUCAGUCACACUGGAACUGAGACACGGUCCAGACUCCUACGGGAGGCAGCAGUGGGGAAUAUUGGACAAUGGGCGAAAGCCUGAUCCAGCCAUGCCGCGUGUGUGAAGAAGGUCUUCGGAUUGUAAAGCACUUUAAGUUGGGAGGAAGGGCAGUUACCUAAUACGUGAUUGUUUUGACGUUACCGACAGAAUAAGCACCGGCUAACUCUGUGCCAGCAGCCGCGGUAAUACAGAGGGUGCAAGCGUUAAUCGGAAUUACUGGGCGUAAAGCGCGCGUAGGUGGUUUGUUAAGUUGGAUGUGAAAUCCCCGGGCUCAACCUGGGAACUGCAUUCAAAACUGACUGACUAGAGUAUGGUAGAGGGUGGUGGAAUUUCCUGUGUAGCGGUGAAAUGCGUAGAUAUAGGAAGGAACACCAGUGGCGAAGGCGACCACCUGGACUAAUACUGACACU